GUCAUAACCAAUGAUUGAUGAGCUAAAGCCAGAAGCAUAUUGAUCAAUCAAGGAAAAACAUCUUUGUGCAUAUGCUUCCUGAUAGAAAGCUGAUAUUUUCAAUAACUUAGGAAUAUUUACAGCAUCAAGAAGAAGAUCAUAUAUAUUUAUGCUAAAUACUACAUAACAUAGAUCAUGUUACAUAGAAAAUUCGCUCACUUACCGUAUGUACAGACAGGAAAGAAUACCAAUAUGUACAGAACAAGUAAAUUGUAACUUACUCUGUAUUUGGGAUCUUCCCAGCAACCAUCAGAGGGUCUAUAAGGUGUGUACUGCGUAAAUAAUCCGAUUACAUGCUUGCCAGGAGGUGAAAUGGUCUUGUCCAAUGAAGACGGAAUUGUCAUUUCCAUUAUAGGUCUUCGUGAUGAGAAUCCAUUUAAAGCAUCUUGACAAGCUGAGACAAUCUCCUCCAUGCUUUCACAACCAAUGUGAAUUGUAGCUGUAUGAUGUGGACCAACCUCCAGAUGAUGCAUUUUGAAGCACUGGAACUGAGGCAAUUUAUCAACAGCUACGUUAAUUUUUGUCGUCCCCAAAAUUUAAACCAGGCACAUAAACUCCAUCCAGCUUGCUUUGAGUGGCAGAUAAGAAGUUUAUCACAUAUCAACUCCAGCUCCAACAGCAGCAUGUUCAAAAAAUAAACGGUCACAAUUGGCUGGUUGUAGAUAACACUGAAUGAUAUCAUUAUCUGGGACAUGAUAGGGAUAUUUAUUUAGAUAGGUUAGAAUGGCACUGUCAGAUUCAUUUAGCUGAUCUAUUCUGUUAGCAUUAUUUUCUAGCUGUGUGUAAUCAAGUUAUAGUUCCUUAGGAGACUUGUUGCUGAUAUCAUUAAGUUAUUAUUUAAAAGCAACUAGCCUAAAUGUAAUUGAGAAAGAGUGGUAAAGCAACACCAGCAUCCUAAAGAGCAUAAAAAAGUGUAACGCAACACGAGACCCAUCAAAAGUUCUUUCAAUUAAGUAGUCUUACUGAGCUGUAGUCAGAGUACUUGAUCGUGCGGACAAAAUCAUCAGGAAGAACAUUUUGAGGCACCAAUUCCAUGAAGGUCUUGUAAGGUGUUGCAUUUGACAACACGACUGUGGAAUGCACUUGUGUUCCAUCAGCUAGAAAGACCCCAUUUACAAUGCCAGAGUCAUCAAUCAUCAACCCUGAAACCUCAGCAUUUGUCGCAAUAUGAACUCCAGCUUCAUUAGCAGCUUUACUUAUAGCCAGGCUAACUGAACCCAUCCCCCCCUCAACAUGCGACCAAAUGUUACGAUCACCAUCGGUUUCACCAAUUACAUGAUGCAACAGCACAUAUCCACUGCCAGGCAUAUGAAUACUUGCCAUGCUGCCAAUGCUAGCAUCUCCUGCAAGUGUUGCCUUAAGUACAUCUGCCUCAAACCACCUAUUUAGGACCUUUGUUGUUGGAGACAAUAAGAAGUCCAUCAAGUCCACCAUAUCUUUCUGCCCCAGGGUGAGAACAUUAAAUAGACAACGAGCCCAAAAAAUUGAUUUCUGCUUGUUAUUCCUCAGGCGAUCUAUAUAAGAUGUAUCCCCAUGAAAAGUCUCAGGAGUAGGAGUAUCCAAAAGAAAAUCCAUGAAUUUAUAGAAUUUCUGCAGCUUGUUUUCAUAUCUUGGAUAAGCAUCGGCAUCCCGCUUAGAGAAUUUGGAAAUCUCCAAGUAAUCUUGUUCGCCAUUAGACCCCAAAAGAAGAUAGCGCCCAUCUAAACAUGGCGUAAACGACGAAGCCAUGGGCUUCAACAGCUUCAAUCCAUGCCUUUUCAACUCCAAUUCCUUGAUGAUAGAGGGACGGAGAAGGCUUUGCAGGUAGCUGCAGCGGGAAAACUUGAAGCCAGGGAUUAAUUCUUCGGUGACAGCAGCGCCGCCAAUGAGGUGACGACGUUCCAGCACAGCAACGGAAAGGCCAGCACGAGCAAGGUAGGUGGCGGCGAUCAAGCCGUUGUGACCAGCGCCGAUGACCAACGCGUCCCAUUUCCUCCCCUUGAGUGGUGCUGUCAUGGCGCGAAAGGACCUCCUUGGCAACAUUUACUUCUUCUUCUACCUGCUAUCUAAA
rnacentral:misc_RNA from 1 species